GAAACUAUUCUUGCUGGCAGGCACUUAAACUCCAGACCCCAAUAUAAUCCUCUGGUGAUGCAGAAUAAAGCAGGUGGAAAACUCUAUAUUAGAUUAAUUGCAAUGAGAAUAACUAAUAUUUAUUUAAUAUGUUCCAGAUGCUCUAAGGCAUUUUAUACUUCAUUUCAUCUUUACAGCAAGUACAUGAAGUGUUAUUGUCACUGUUUUACAGGUGAUUUGCCCUAAUUGCAGUACACAUAAAAAGGGAGCAGUGACUACUUUAGGGAUGGGAUGAUGUGGAGAUGUGAGAGAACACAGACACAGAUGUGGACUUCAAGAUUGAAUCUACAGCAAAGGAAUUCAAUGAAAUGGGUACAUCGGACAUCAUGUGAAAUUUGGUAGGUGGAAUAUAAACUCAAUUCAACAAUAUUAGUAAAAAUGCCAUUGCCAUCAAUGGAUUAAGAAUAUAUGGCAAACUUUGCCCCCAGAAACUGUCUCAAAGCACUUCACAUCAUCAAAAGUGCAUAUAGUGAUUCAAUGUAAUUACUUACAUGAAAAUGCAUGCCACAGCAUUAAUUUGCUAUGCUAAACCGAUGUUGACAAACAUAAACCAAUUGUUAGUGGUAGUUUAGUAUAAACGACUUGAAAC
rnacentral:lncRNA from 10 species